AUCUGGAAACACACGAAGCCACGCCUGACAUUGUAGUCAGCAACAAGCUGAAGCCAAGGUUUGUCUUUUAAGGAGCAGGUUUGUCAGCAGGUGUGAGCCACAGCGUUUUGGCCUUAAGUGGACAGGCCUGUCCCUCUUCUGCCUGACCUUCUGCUGUCUAUGUUUUGCAGCUCACAAGGAGCCACGAAGGGCAAGGAUCAGUAAGACAAGUGGUUGGCUUCACAGAUGAAAGCACCUUGUCCACUUCCUCAGAAGGGAGAAGCCAAAACCGAUCCCGAUUUACCGGCAUGCAACUGGCCAACUCUGGUUCAUCCACUGUGUCCACGACGCACGGGAUCGAGCUCCAAUCUUUGAAUAUGUUCACAGUCCCACAACAUGUGAACAUAGGAUCUGCGGACCCCACAUCCUCUCCAGCACAAUGGUAAAAGUCCGGGUAUCAAUGGGGAUAUCCUUGGCAUCAAUGAUUCCUUUCUAUAUUUCCAGACCUUUAGUAUGGGAUUAAUGCUUGUAUGUUGUUGUUGUAUUCCCUUUUUAAUUUCUUUUUUAAUAAAAGGUAAUACUGCAAGAUCUAUGUCU